rnacentral:rRNA from 1 species
GAUGAACGCUGGCGGCGUGCCUAAUACAUGCCAGUCGAGCGAACAGAUGAGGAGCUUGCUCCUCUGACGUUAGCGGCGGACGGGUGAGUAACACGUGGAUAACCUACCUAUAAGACUGGGAUAACUUCGGGAAACCGGAGCUAAUACCGGAUAAUAUAUUGAACCGCAUGGUUCAAUAGUGAAAGACGGUUUUGCUGUCACUUAUAGAUGGAUCCGCGCCGCAUUAGCUAGUGGGUAAGGUAACGGCUUACCAAGGCAACGAUGCGUAGCCGACCUGAGAGGGUGAUCGGCCACACUGGAACUGAGACACGGUCCAGACUCCUACGGGAGGCAGCAGUAGGGAAUCUUCCGCAAUGGGCGAAAGCCUGACGGAGCAACGCCGCGUGAGUGAUGAAGGUCUUCGGAUCGUAAAACUCUUUUAUUAGGGAAGAACAAAUGUGUAAGUAACUAUGCACGUCUUGACGGUACCUAAUCAGAAAGCCACGGCUAACUACGUG